GACGAACCGUGCGAACGUUAUUCGGAAUCACUGGGCUUAAAGCGCGUGUAGGCGGGCCGGCACGUCGGUCGCUGAAAUCCCCCGGCUCAACCGGGGAAGGGGCGCCGAUACGACCGGCCUGGAGGGGCGUAGGGGGAUCGGGAACUUCCGGUGGAGCGGUGAAAUGCUUUGAGAUCGGAAGGAACGCCCGUGGCGAAAGCGCGGUCCUGGACGCCAUCUGACGCUGAGACGCGAAAGCCAGGGGAGCGAACGGG
rnacentral:rRNA from 1 species